CAAGGAAUUUUCCCCAAUGGGCGCAAGCCUGAGGGAGCAACGCCGCGUGCAGGACGACGGCUUUCGGGUUGUAAACUGCUUUUGCGUGGGACGAUAACGACGGUACCACGCGAAUACGCCCCGGCUAACUCUGUGCCAGCAGCCGCGGAAAUACAGAGGGGGCAAGCGUUGUCCGGACUUACUGGGCGUAAAGCGCACGCAGGUGGUAAGGCAAGUGGUGUGUGAAAGCCGCCAGCUUAACUGGCGGAGGCCAUCCCAAACUGCUUCACUUGAGGCCUGUAGAGGUAUGUGGAAUUGCCGGUGUAGGGGUGAAAUGCGUAGAGAUAGGCAGGAACACCAAGGGGGAAACCAGCAUACUGGACAGGACCUGACACUCAGGUGCGACAGCGUGGGGAGCGAUCCGGAUUAGAUACCCCCGUAGUCC
rnacentral:rRNA from 1 species